CCGACCGGUGGUGCUGCAGCGCAAAAUUGGCCGUAAAGACUUUAAAACAGGAAUUAAGCAGGUUUCCCAACCACCAUAAAACUCCAAAAGAAGAAGAAGAAGCAGAUUUCAAAAUACAAACCUCUUCAAGAAAAUGGCGCAAGUCGUGGAACUGCAUAAACUCAAGCUGGCAGAGCUGAAGCA